rnacentral:rRNA from 1 species
GACGAACGCUGGCGGCGUGCUUAACACAUGCAAGUCGAACGGAAAGGCCCUGCUUUUGUGGGGUGCUCGAGUGGCGAACGGGUGAGUAACACGUGAGUAACCUGCCCUUGACUUUGGGAUAACUUCAGGAAACUGGGGCUAAUACCGGAUAGGAGCUCCUGCUGCAUGGUGGGGUUUGGACAGUUUCGGCGGUUGGGGAUGGACUCGCGGCUUAUCAGCUUGUUGGUGGGGUAGUGGCUUACCAAGGCUUUGACGGGUAGCCGGCCUGGGAGGGUGACCGGCCACAUUGGGACUGAGGGACGGCCCAGACUCGUACGGGAGGCAGCAGGGGGGAAUAUUGCACAAUGGGCGGAAGCGUGAUGCAGCAACGCCGCGUGCGGGAUGACGGCCUUCGGGUUGUAAACCGCUUUCGCCUGUGACGAAGCGUGAGUGACGGUAAUGGGUAAAGAAGCACCGGCUAACUACGUG